AAAAUAUGUUAAGUUCAGUUCAAAGUUAAUAGAAAAAUGAAUUAGUUAAUGCUCAACACUGGUCGCCUUCUAGUAGAAAGCAUGGGGAUUGAAGCCGAGUUUGCUCGCCUCACCACUGUUGACCUGAAAGGCUGUCUCUUUGCUGGCCUUGACAAGUCUGCAGAGGUUUAUUGAUCUCUACAGAGCCAAGUGUGGUGGAGCUGAAGAAGCUGUUGACAACACUGGAUAGUGAUUGUUCCAACCAAUGGAAAAGGACCAUCGUGCUGAUGGGGCUCCCCGACUACCUCAAAGAUGUUGCAUCC